rnacentral:rRNA from 1 species
CACGAACGCUGGCGGCAGGCUUAACACAUGCAAGUCGAGCGCCCCGCAAGGGGAGCGGCAGACGGGUGAGUAACGCGUGGGAAUCUACCCAUCUCUACGGAAUAACGCAUGGAAACGUGUGCUAAUACCGUAUAUGUCCUUCGGGAGAAAGAUUUACCGGAGAUGGAUGAGCCCGCGUUGGAUUAGCUAGUUGGUGGGGUAAAGGCCUACCAAGGCGACGAUCCAUAGCUGGUCUGAGAGGAUGAUCAGCCACACUGGGACUGAGACACGGCCCAGACUCCUACGGGAGGCAGCAGUGGGGAAUAUUGGACAAUGGGCGCAAGCCUGAUCCAGCCAUGCCGCGUGAGUGAUGAAGGCCCUAGGGUUGUAAAGCUCAUUCACCGGUGAAGAUAAUGACGGUAACCGGAGAAGAAGCCCCGGCUAACUUCGUGCCAGCCGCCGCUGUAAAAC